AAGCGACGCGGGGCCGUUGAGUAGCGGAGCGAAAAAAAAAAAAAAAAAAAAAGGCAAAAAAAAAAAAAAAGCGGAUCUCGUCUCCCCCCGCCGGUAACCGAAACGGGUAAUUAACUGUUUCCUCUCCCCCGAUCUUCUUCCCGGCCGUGCUCGGCGGUGCCGGACGGCUUUGUUUUCGGUUUGAAGGUAAUAACACCGAUGUCAACAGAAGUUUCCUUCUUCUGCCUGGGCAUGGAGUAACCCUAACAACAAUGCUAAUAAAGAAGAGCCUGUAAUGGUUUCUCCUGGACCGAGUCCGAUUUCAAGCCUGGGAAAUGGAGGAGUCUGAGCCCUGAAGCUGAUGCUGCUGUCAGAAUAAAAGGUGCCUGUGGAAGCUCUCACAUCUGAGCAGGAUCGUGUUGGGGAUCCUCAUCUUCCCACUGGGUGAGUAGCCCCUACCGUGGGCCUGGCCUGGGCAGGGGCUCCGGACCUACAGCGUGAGAGGCAGAUUUAUAAAAAUUAGGCAUUUAGCCCUGCUGGGUUUUGAGGACAUAUUCUGCUCAUUUGGUAGAGUUAGCCUACGAAAGUCUGUUAUUUCCCUGCCAACUAAUUAUUACUGUUGCUGUUGUUAUUAUUAUUAUUAUUGUUGUUGUUGUUAUUAUUAUUAUUGUUGUUGUUAUUAUUAUUAUGAUGUUGAUGAUGGUGGUUGUUGUUCUUUCAUAAGCUGUAAUGGAAAUACUCCACAUUUUAAAUUGAAUUCUGGUUCUUGGAGAAAAUGACCCUUUAAAACUGGAUUACUGGUCUAACUGAGGUUGGAAGUGCCUUUUAUUAGACCCUUACUUUUCUGUAAAGAGGGUGGUGAAGCUUUAGCCUUGCCCUAUCUCUGUGUCUGGUCCCGGCUCCAUCCCAGUUCCCUCAGGCAUGGGAUGCAGGCACUUGGCUGCUGCGUCUCCAGUGUUGUCCUUGGCUCACUUAUGGCUAUGCCAUGUUCUAAGACAGAAUAGAGUACAAUUUCAUAAGGUGUUAUCAUCCCAUAUUGUAUUUUUGUAUUUUUGUCUUUUAAAAGAGAUGUAUAAAAU